rnacentral:rRNA from 1 species
AGCGAACGCUGGCGGCAGGCUUAACACAUGCAAGUCGAACGGGCGUAGCAAUACGUCAGUGGCAGACGGGUGAGUAACGCGUGGGAACGUGCCUUUUGGUUCGGAACAACUGAGGGAAACUUCAGCUAAUACCGGAUAAGCCCUUACGGGGAAAGAUUUAUCGCCAAAAGAUCGGCCCGCGUCUGAUUAGCUAGUUGGUGAGGUAAUGGCUCACCAAGGCGACGAUCAGUAGCNGGUCUGAGAGGAUGAUCAGCCACACUGGGACUGAGACACGGCCCAGACUCCUACGGGAGGCAGCAGUGGGGAAUAUUGGACAAUGGGCGCAAGCCUGAUCCAGCAAUGCCGCGUGGAUGAAG